GGAAUUGAAAAUUUCUGCAAUUGAACAUUUAAAGAGACACUGAUGGGCUUGAACAAUUCGUAUAUUCUGUGAGUGCAUUAUUAUUACCAAGGGGCCAUUGCUUUAUUGUAUGGUGUUGCCCUAUGAAUUUCUUUUUACCUCUGUCCUUUUAGGUGUAUCUUGUAUCUAAUAUUUGUGUUUGAGGAUUUAGAGGAAUCCUGUGUUACUACCUAAUAUAUAAGGGAAG